rnacentral:rRNA from 1 species
GAGACUCUGUGCGCGUGCAUAUCAAUAAGCGGAGGAAAAGAAACUAACUAGGAUUCCCUCAGUAACGGCGAGUGAAGCGGGAAGAGCUCAAAUUUGAAAUCUUCAAGGUUCUACCUUGACGAAUUGUAGUUUAAAGAAGUGUUUUCUGUUGGAGUUUUGGUAAAAGUUCUUUGGAAUAGGACAUCAUAGAGGGUGAGAAUCCCGUAUUUGACCAUUAUUUCCAACUUUGUGAUACACUUUCAAAGAGUCGGAUUGUUUGGGAAUGCAGUCCAAAAUGGGUGGUAAAUUUCAUCUAAAGCUAAAUAUUGGCGAGAGACCGAUAGCGAACAAGUACCGUGAGGGAAAGAUGAAAGGAACUUUGAAAAGAGAGUUAAGCAGUACGUGAAAUUGUCAAAAGGGAAGCGUUUGACACCAGUGUUGUUUUCUCGAAAAUCAAUUAAAAAAGGCCGGAUUUUGUGUUGUAUUGACCUUAAAAGCUUUCUUCACUCUUCUCUUGUCUUUUUUAAUGCACUUUUCGUUUAACAAGUCAACAUCAGUUUCUUUUGUUGUAAAAGAGUCAUUGGAAGGUGGCUUUCUUUUCGGAGAAAGUGUUUAUAGCCUUUGAUCUCUGCAACCGGAGAGACUGAGGUCUGCAGCGUAGACUCUUCGGGGUUAAAUACAUUUGUGCUAAGCUAUAGCUUUUUAUAGACAACUUGUUGACUAUAUUUAGUCUUGUAGGCUUACUCGCUUAUGCUAUUUUACCUACGCUUAGGAUGUUGAGUCGUAGAGCACGCAG